rnacentral:rRNA from 1 species
GACGAACGCUGGCGGCGUGCUUAACACAUGCAAGUCGAACGCUGAAGCUCAGCUUUUGUUGGGUGGAUGAGUGGCGAACGGGUGAGUAACACGUGAGUAACCUGCCUCCUUCUUUGGGAUAACGCCCGGAAACGGGUGCUAAUACUGGAUAUUCACUGGUCUUCGCAUGGGGGUUGGUGGAAAGGGUUUUUCUGGUGGGGGAUGGGCUCGCUGCCUAUCAGCUUGUUGGUGGGGUUAUUGCCUAACAAGGCUUUGACGGGUAGCCGGCCUGAGAGGGUGAACGGUCACAUUGGGACUGAGAUACGGCCCAGACUAGUACGGGAGGCAGCAGUGGGGAAUAUUGCACAAUGGGCGCAAGCCUGAUGCAGCGACGCCGCGUGAGGGAUGGAGGCCUUCGGGUUGUGAACCUCUUUCGCUAAUGGUCAAGCCGCAACAAUGGUUGUGGUGAGGGUAGUGGGUAAAGAAGCGCCGGCUAACUACGUG